rnacentral:rRNA from 1 species
CUGGCCUGUUACCGACGCUGAAGCGCGAAAGCGUGGGGAGCGAAGGGGAUUAGAUACCCCCGUAGUCCACGCCGCAAACGAUGUUCACUGGGUGUCGGUCAUUAAUUAGAUCGGUGCCGGAGCUAACGCAUUAAGUGAACCGCCUGGGGACUACGGCCGCAAGGCUAAAACUCAAGAGAAUUGACGGGGCCCUGCACAAGCGGUGGAGCACGUGGUUUAAUUCGAUGAUAAGCGAAGAACCUUACCUGGGCUUGACAUACUAGCAGUAGGAGCCAGAGAUGGUAACGACCCCUACUUUUGGUAGGGGAACUAGUACAGGUGAUGCAUGGCUGUCGUCAGCUCGUGUCGUGGGACGUUGGGUUAAGUCCCGAAACGAGCGCAACCCCUGUUGUUAGUUGCCAGCGGGUAAUGCCGGGGACUCUAACAAGACUGCAGGUGAAUAGCCGGAGGAAGGAGGGGAUGACGUCAAGUCAUCAUGUCCCUUAUGUCCAGGGCGACACACAUGCUACAAUGGGAGGUACAAAGGGCUGCUAAACCGUAAGGUCAUGCGAAUCCCAGAAAGCCUUCCUUAGUUCGGAUUGAGGUCUGCAACCCGACCUCAUGAAGCCGGAAUCGCGUAGUAAUCGCAGGUCAGCCACACUCGGUG